rnacentral:rRNA from 1 species
UACGUAGGGUGCGAGCGUUAAUCGGAAUUACUGGGCGUAAAGCGUGCGCAGGCGGUUAUUUAAGUCAGGUGUGAAAGCCCUGGGCUUAACCUAGGAAUUGCGCUUGAGACUGGAUAGCUUUGAGUGCGGCAGAGGGAGGUGGAAUUCCACGUGUAGCAGUGAAAUGCGUAGAGAUGUGGAGGAACACCGAUGGCGAAGGCAGCCUCCUGGGCCAGCACUGACGCCCAUGCACGAAAGCGUGGGGAGCAAACAGG